rnacentral:rRNA from 1 species
UUCUGUGAUGCCCCUUAGAUGUUCUGGGCCGCACGCGCGCUACACUGAUGAAGUCAACAAGUGAUUUCACCUUGGCCGGAAGGUCUGGGUAAUCUUUUGAAACUUCAUCGUGCUGGGGAUAGUCCAUUGCAAUUAUUGGACUUCAACGAGGAAUUCCUAGUAAGCGUAAGUCAUCAGCUUGCGUUGAUUACGUCCCUGCCCUUUGUACACACCGCA